rnacentral:rRNA from 1 species
CUAGUGUGCCAGCAGCCGCGGUAUUACGGAGGGGCUAGCGUUGUUCGGAAUUACUGGGCGUAAAGAGUGCGUAGGCGGUUUAGUAAGUUGGAAGUGAAAGCCCGGGGCUUAACCUCGGAAUUGCUUUCAAAACUACUAAUCUAGAGUGUAGCAGGGGAUGAUGGAAUUCCUAGUGUAGAGGUGAAAUUCUUAGAUAUUAGGAGGAACACCGGUGGCGAAGGCGGUCAUCUGGGCUACAACUGACGCUGAUGCACGAAAGCGUGGGAGCAAACAGGAUUAGAUACCCUGGUAGUCCACGCCGUAAACGAUGAGUGCUAGAUAUUGGGAGUAUUUUCUCUCGGUUUCGCAGCUAACGCAUUAAGCACUCCGCCUGGGGAGUACGGUCGCAAGAUUA